GAUGAAGAACGUAGCGAAAUGCGAUAAGUAAUGUGAAUUGCAGAAUUCAGUGAAUCAUCGAAUCUUUGAACGCACAUCGCGCCCCCUGGUAUUCCGGGGGGCAUGCCUGUUCGAGCGUCAUUACAACCCUCAAGCUCUGCUUGGUAUUGGGCCCCGCCAGUUCUGGCGGGCCCUAAAGUCAGUGGCGGUGCCUUCCGGCUCCGAGCGUAGUAAUUCUUCUCGCUCUGGAGACCCGGUUGUGUGCUUGCCAACAACCCCCAAUUUUUUAAGGUUGACCUCGGAUCAGGUAGGGAUACCCGCUGAACUUAAGCAUAUCAAUAAGCGGAGGA
rnacentral:misc_RNA from 1 species